GCGCCGGUGGUGUAAGGCGAACGUCGCUGCCCGGAAAGCAGAAGAUGCGGGUUCGAGUCCCGCCUGGCGCA
rfam:Heligmosomoides polygyrus genome assembly, scaffold: HPBE_scaffold0006345